CAAAGCGCGGCCACAUCGCAGCGAAGCAGAGGGGACCUCGACUUUUCCCUCUAUUUGUUUCGCAGCUGUGCAGCUCCAAGGGAAAUCACACGGCCGUGCUUUUCUCAUUAAGCGCCGUCACAUUUUCCAGACAGAAGCUCAGAGCCCAGUGCUGUAAAACUGGGAUUUUUUUCCUCCUUUUUCAGCUGCAGAUGCUUAAAGAUCCCUGGCUGAAGGAUCCUUCCCGGCCCCACUGAUGUGUCCCCUCAGUGGGGCUCUGACCCAGGGCUGAGCAGGAGGAAGCCCCCGUUGCAGAACCCGGGUGCACUGUGGACAAGUGAGCAACGCGCCAUGCAUUCCCACAGCAAAGACAGGAGCUGGGACGUCAUGCAUGGGUUGGCAAAGCAGCUGAGCAAGCUGAUCUGCAAUUAAGGACGUUCUUCACUUCCUUCUCCUGAAUAGCAUGGAGAAAACCCAUUCACUCAUACACCGAGUGCCCCAUGCUUUGGCUGGAAUGGUGUUCCCGUGCACCAGGAGCAGGUGAGCAGCUCGGCCAGGCCAGGGCGGCUGUAGGGUGCAUCACACAGACACCCCCUGCAGGAGGAGACGUCCCAACUCCCAGCACUCCCAGUGCUCCCGGUGUGCUGCUGCCUGCAUCUGCUCCGGGGCAUCGCCUUCCCCACGCUGCCAGCCUGCAGCAAAAUGGCAUUUCAGAGCGUCGUGGCAAAACGGCAUCCCGACAUCAUACAACCACACAACCGUAUCACUUCUUGGCAUUAAAACCAGAG
rnacentral:lncRNA from 1 species